rnacentral:misc_RNA from 1 species
GAACUUUCAAGCAAGGUUCAGUGAAGCACCUAAAGUUCACACAGCUGAGGGACUGCCGGCUUCCAGCGUCAGUGGCGGCAGAGAGAUCGGGGAAGGAGUGCGUUCGUUGCAGUGUUUCAUAUUCAUCCCUAAGCAUUACCGAGUGUUACCUGAUGUGCUUCAUAAUCCAGCAAAGUCACUCAAGAGGAGAUGGGAGACGCGAGGGAAGCUGCACCCCCCGCCCACAUUUAAUGCAGCGAUGAAGGCUUUGGGCGAUUCUCUAUUGGCUGAAAAUAAUCAUCAUCGUCAUCAACAUCAUCGUCAUCAUCACCAUCAUCAUCAUCGGCACAGCAGCACUAAAAUGAUGGUCGCGGAAGGCGACUACGACAAAAGGGAGGAAAGAAGAAAUGACAAGAGGGGACGGGAGGAAAGACGACGAUAUGGAGGGGAGAGGAUUAAAGGCGAUGACGAUAAGAGGGGAGGAGGAAAGGACGACGAUGACAACAGGAAAGGGAAAGAAAAAAAAAAUUUCUUCUCUAAGUGUAUUAAAGUGUAAUUGGAAACGGGGCGUGAUCGUGAAGACACGAGUGACGGGCUGGUCUAACGGUACAGGGCGCUAGACACAGACCCCGUUGUAUAUUACUUCUCUCCCCUUUCUUGUUAUCGUCGUUCUCUUCUUCCUUUUCUUUUCUGUAGUCUUACAAAUAUUAUAUACAAAAUAA